ensembl:lncRNA
CAGAAAGCUCUCGGAUUUCAUCAAAAAUAUCUUAAUUUGUGUUCCAAAGAUGAAUGAAGGACUUAAGGGUUUGAAACGACAUGAGGGUGAGACCCAGGCCAGAGUACACCAAAAAAGUACAUCAGCUAUUUCUGUCUGUGGCUUACCACACUAUUGACGCUGUACCGCUCAUACUUACUCAGUUAUCACGUAGGAGUUAAGAAAGCAGACAUAAGCACAUAAAAACACCAGCACACAUACGCAAACAAACACCCAUACAGAAAAGGUUCGAUGUUCAAAACUGAUCGGCAAGCAAAAAAACUUUGCUGAUGUGUGCUUGUAUCAUAUCUCCUCAAGACUUUUCAAGAAAACGCUACAGGUGUACAACAACUCUUAGUCAAUCGGACGUAAUGGAUCACGUGGUCAGAAGAGUCGUUGCCCAGGAAAUGAUGCUUCGUCGGAAUGGAAACUUUAGUGCGGCCCACCACAACAGAGACACCAUGUUGUAUCGGGGGGUCCUAAUUGUCUGGCCUAAAUAUAUGAUAGAGAUGGUACCCCCACCCUGAGUCUCUCUGAGCCAUCAAUUCUAGAUGCCCUGAUCAACCUGACCAUCAUCCCGUUCCCAUCAUCCCUGACCAUCAUCCUGUUCUACUCUUCCCCAACACUCUGUUCAACUAAAAGUUUCAUAGCUUGUUUGGGGGUGGUCCUAGCUAGUGAAAUACUCUUUGUUGAAAGCACGUACACACACAUGCACUCCUGCAGGAAGAGUGGGUGUCUGGGAGCAGCUGCAUGGGAGAGAUGUCGAAUGUGGUUUCCUCCCGAUGAACCUAUCCUCCCUAUGUCUUAUCAGUCAAACAGAGAGGUAAAUAUGUAGUAAAAGUAACCAGGUUGGUAACAUUCAUUAGUGAGAUCUCUGCCUGAGAAAUAAACAUUUU